rnacentral:rRNA from 1 species
AUUGAACGCUGGCGGCAGGCCUAACACAUGCAAGUCGAGCGCGCGGCGGACGGGUGAGUAAUGUCUGGGAAACUGCCUGAGGGGGGGGGAUAACACCUGGGAACGGUAGCUAAUACCGCAUACCCUCGGAUGUGCCCAGAGGGGAGUAGCUAGUAGGUGGGGUAAAGGCUCACCUGGGCGCCGAUCCCUAGCUGGUCUGUGAGGAUGACCAUCCACACUGGAACUGAGACACGGUCCAGACUCCUACGGGAGGCAGCAGUGGGGAAGAUUGCACAAUGGGCGCAAGCCUGAUGCAGCCAUGCCGCGUGUAUGAAGAAGGCCUUCGGGUUGUAAAGUACUUUCAGCGGGGAGGCGUUACCCGCAGAAGAAGCACCGGCUAACUCCGUGCCAGCCGCCGCGGUAAUUC